UGGAGGCGUGGUCGCUCAACGGAUAAAAGGUACCUCGGGGAUAACAGGCUGAUCUUGCCCGAGCGCUCAUAGCGACGGCAUGGUUUGGCACCUCGAUGUCGGCUCGUCGCAUCCUGGGGCUGGAGUAGGUCCCAAGGGUUGGGCUGUUCGCCCAUGAAAGCGGUACGCGAGCUGGGUUCAGAACGUCGUGAGACAGUUCGGUCCAUAUCCGGUGUAGGCGUUAGAAUAUUGAGAGGAUUCUUCUCUAGUACGAGAGGAUCGAGAAGAACGUACCUCUAGUGUGCCAGUUAUUGUGCCAACAGUAAACGCUGGGUAGCUAUGUACGGAGUGGAUAACCGCUGAAAGCAUCUAAGUGGGAAGCCCACCUCAAGAUGAGUAUUCUUAUCUAGAAGAUAUAAGGUUACGGCAAGACUAGCCGUUUAAUAGGUACUAUGUGAAAGUACAGUAAUGUAUUUAGCAGAGGUAUACUAACAAACCGAAUGCUU
rnacentral:rRNA from 14 species